rnacentral:rRNA from 1 species
CUACGGGGCGCUCCAGUGAGGAAUAUUGCACAAUGGGGGGAACCCUGAUGCAGCAACGCCGCGUGGAGGAUGACGCAUUUCGGUGUGUAAACUCCUUUUAUAUGUCAAGAAAAUGACGGUAGCAUAUGAAUAAGCACCGGCUAACUCCGUGCCAGCAGCCGCGGUAAUGCGGAGGGUGCAAGCGUUACUCGGAAUCACUGGGCGUAAAGGACGCGUAGGCGGGUUGGAAAGUCAGGUGUGAAAUCCUACAGCUUAACUGUAGAACUGCACUUGAAACUUCUAAUCUAGAGUAUGGGAGGGGGAGAUGGAAUUAGUGGUGUAGGGGUAAGAUCCGUAGAUAUCACUAGGAAUACCUAAAGCGAAGGCGAUCUCCUGGAACAUUACUGACGCUAAGGCGUGGAAGCGUGGGGAGCAAACAGGAUUAGAUACCCGCGUAGUC